rnacentral:misc_RNA from 1 species
GUGACAUUACUAACUAUUUUGUGUAUAAAAUUGUAUUGUCUCAUGAUAUGUAAAAAUUAAAUCUUCACACUAUAAAAUAAAAAUAAAACUACAGAACAUCGAAUGGAAGAAUAUAUACGAAAAGGGUUAAGUUUAAGAGAAAGAUUAUUCUAAUUUGAAUUAUCCCAUCAUUUAUAGUGCCUAGCAAAUCAAAGUCACAACGUCUUGAAUCAAAUUCUUCAUAACUAUAAGAGAUUUAAUUAUUUCAUAAAUGAAAAUCCAAAAGUAAAAUAAAUUAGGAAACAAUAUCAACGAUACAGGCUUUUCAUUUUUAUUUUUUACACAUGUUUAACACAAAAAACUCCUAAAUAUGCAUCUUGAAUCAGAUACUAAGCUAGUAGGUAAAUGGUUGCAUUCCAAUUUGAUAGUAUAAGAGUAAAAAUUUAAAUAGGACAUCUUUCUUAUAUUUUAGAAAGUUUUUUAUUUAUCAAAAAAAGUUUGAAAAAGGUUCUACUAAGUGUAUUUCCUACACAUGAAGAGCCAAGUUGCUUAAGAGAACCUGUGACCUAGUUGUUGCUGAUACACACAUGUAUGUAUAACUUUGUCCUACACCUUACCGACAUUACGUAAUGUCGGUA